rnacentral:lncRNA from 1 species
CCUAGAUGACAGGUUGAUAGGUACAGCAAACCACUGUGGUACAUGUAUACCUAUGUAACAAACCUGCACGUUCAGCACAUGUACCUCAGAACUUAAAAGAAAAAAUAAUAAGGUGCUAAUCCAUGUUUGAUGGUAGAAUAUUCAAGACUUAAUCACUUCCCCAAAAGCCCCACUUCUUAAUACCGCCAUGAUAGGAAUUAAGUUUCAACCUGACUGGUGGAGGGGACACCAUCACUGAAACCAAAGCACUUGCUAACAACUGAUCUUCCCAAAGAGUUUCCAAGAAUGUAAGUUCUCUCAAGUGACAUACUCAACGCAAGGUAGUAUUUUACUUUGGAUGGGGUGGCCUAUUUUCAUCUCUUUUUCAGAUUAGCAAAUUCUAUUUUAGUUCUCAUAAUUUGAAUGGGAGCUGAUUCCUCCCAGGGUCUCAGUGAUUCAGCCUCUUUGCCGCACACUCAUAUUUCUGGCCUGAAAUUCUUUUGAGGUUGAAGCGGAUAGACUAGGUUUCCUCUCUUUUGAUUGAAGGAUGGAAAGGCUGAUGACACACAGGCCAGGUGACAGCAGAGCAGCUCAGCACAAGGGCCGAGGCUGGCUGCAGCUCUGACGGGCAUGUUCUGGACUUCAGCAAGUAUGGAACCUCCCUGUGCCUCAGUUUAUACACUUGUAAAUGGGUGGAUAAUAAUGGCACUGUCAAUCAGGAAUCCAGACUCAGAAAGGCACAAACUCCUGGCCACAACCCCUGCUGCAGACGGAGGGAGUCUGGGGCCCCAGGAGGAUCCGGAUGCUGGUGCUGUCGGCUGUGGAGAGAAAAGACAUGCUUGAGGAGAACUGGGCCCUGUCUAUGGCUCAGCCUUCCAGGGUAUCUAAUUCUGGUUCUAAGGGAACUGUUUCACAACUUGCUAAGGUGCAGACAACUGACAGCAAUGCCGAGAGAUGACUCCAUUGCAGCCAGGUGAGCUCAGUCCUGUGGCGGCUCUGCUGGCUACCUUCUCACAGCGGAAGGGCCCAGCGUGGUUCCAUCUGCACAUUCCCCUACAUAUUCCAGACCUACACACCCAUGGGUUGUCUGAUUCUCCUUCCUUGUAACUGGUUGUAAGAUCUUACUAGUUCUCUCA